GGCGACUCAUUGACGGCGGUGCUC
rnacentral:siRNA from 1 species